rnacentral:lncRNA from 1 species
CUUGAUCUCUUGAUCCUUGGUCUAUUUAUAGGCCAAGGAUUAGGGUUCAAGGGUGCGUACCUGGAUCCUGGUCCUACACGUGUAGGGGUUUGAUCCCCUACACGUGUCCAGGUGUCAGCGUGGGAGUAGUAUUUUGGAAUGUUCCCUGACUUGUAUCUAUCGCCAGUAGUUGACCGUUAUGCUUGUCUUUAUCGUGUCAGUCUGUGCCUUGUGCAGCAAGUGUCGGCUGGUACAUGUAUGGAUCCCGGUCGAGGAGUAUGAUCAGGGAGUACCCGGGUCUAGUGUCCCACCCGGGUGGUGUAUCCUGGUAGGGUUGGUAGAUUGCAUGCUGUGCCUGGCGGCUCUCCGGGGGCCAGGGUCCUUGAGUGUGCCCGGGCUUGUCUACCCG